rnacentral:rRNA from 1 species
ACACUCCUGCGGGAGGCAGCAGUGGGGAAUUUUGGACAAUGGGCGAAAGCCUGAUCCAGCAAUGCCGCGUGAGUGAAGAAGGCCUUCGGGUUGUAAAGCUCUUUUGUCAGGGAAGAAACGGUGAAAGCUAAUAUCUUUUGCUAAUGACGGUACCUGAAGAAUAAGCACCGGCUAACUACGUGCCAGCAGCCGCGGUAAUACGUAGGGUGCAAGCGUUAAUCGGAAUUAUUGGGCGUAAAGCGUGCGCAGGCGGUUUUGUAAGUCUGAUGUGAAAUCCCCGGGCUCAACCUGGGAAUUGCAUUGGAGACUGCAAGGCUAGAAUCUGGCAGAGGGAGGUAGAAUUCCACGUGUAGCAGUGAAAUGCGUAGAUAUGUGGAGGAACACCGAUGGCGAAGGCAGCCCCCUGGGUCAAGAUUGACGCUCAUGCACGAAAGCGUGGGGAGCAAACAGGAUUAGAAACCCCAGUAGUCCC